UUUUUUUAAAAUAAAAGAAUAGUUGGACAGCGGAGGGAUCAUUACUGGACUCGCAAGACUCCUAAACCCUGUGAACUUUCUGUAAAAAAAAGGUUGCCUCGGCGGCGUCCUCGCCCCCCCGAAUAGGAUAACGGGACGCGCCGCCAGCGGCACAACAACCCUGCAUCGCGCGUUGGCAUCUCGAGGACGAAGAAGCAAUCAAAACUUUCAACAACGGAUCUCUUGGCUCUGGCAUCGAUGAAGAACGCAGCGAAAUGCGAUAAGUAAUGCGAAUUGCAGAAUUCCGUGAGUCAUCGAAUCUUUGAACGCACAUUGCGCCCGCCAGCAUUCUGGCGGGCAUGCCUAUUCGAGUGUCAUUCGCACCGCUCAGGCCCUGCCUGGCGUUGGAGGACUGCGCCCGCGCAGCCUCCCAAAGCGAGCGGCGGUGGUCUCCCCGGAACCGAGCGCAGUCACGCCUCGUCUCGGGCCCUGGGGGCCGUCCGGCCGGAAAAAUAACAGCCCUAGGGCACACACUACGUUGACCUCGAAUUAGGUAGGAAUACCCGCUGAACUUAAGCAUAUCAAUAAGCGGAGGAAAAGAAACCAACCGGGAUUGCCUCAGUAACGGCGAGUGAAGCGGCCACAGCUCAAAAUUUGAAAUCUGGCCCUCGGGUUCCGAGUUGUACUUUGCAGAGGAUGCUUCUGGCGAGGGCGCUGCCCAAAGUCCCCUGGAACGGGGCGCCGGAGAGGGUGAGAGCCCCGUACGGUCGGCGGCCGAGCCUGUGCGAAAGCUCCUUCGACGAGUCGAGUAGUUUGGGAAUGCUGCUCUAAGCGGGGAGGGUAGACCCCUUUCUAAAGCUAAAUACCGGGCCAGAGACCGAUAGCGCACAAGUUAGAGUGAUCGAAAAGAUGAAAAGCAUCUUUGAAAAGAGGGUUAAACAGCCACGGUGAAAUUGUUGAAAAGGGAAGCGCUUGCGACCAGACGUGCGCCGGGGUGGCUCCGGUGGGCGUUUCUCGCCCGCGCACUCGCCCCGGCGCAGGCCAGCGUUCGGUUUCGGACGGGGGGACAAAGGCGCCUGGAACCGUGGCUUCCUUCGGGAGUGUUAUAGCCAGGCGCGUCAUGCCCCCGCCCGGACCGAAGGUUCGCUUUCUGCAAGAACCUGGUAUAAUGUCCAGGCCUUUUAAAAA
rnacentral:rRNA from 1 species